CUAAGUCUUAGCAACGGAUUCAGCAUGACACUGCCAAGGAGAUUUAACCUACAAAAGUGACGCCAAAGUCUUCCUUACCACCUUCUGGAUUUGGUGCCUACGAUACAUUCCGAAACGGAAUUGAGUUUCCAACGUACAAAGCUUCGAAACAGAAUCAGAACCUCAACACAUCACCCUUCGGAAAUCCCGCGUCAUCAUGGUGACAAUUCGGCGUCGACAUGAUGAGCUACGACGCGUCACAAGAACCUUCGUUGUGCUUCAAUGGCGUAAUGCACUCCUUCUUAAGAACACCAUUUGAAACGCAGAAAACACGAUGGUGAACAGUGACCCCGAUGUCGAUCUCCUCACCGAAGUCAAACCCUGCGUUUAUCCAAUCUUCUUCACACGCGCGACAUCAGGGUGAAACGAAAUCGAAGCUAGUUCAUGCUCGACUCAAGUUUGGCACAUAACAUUGAACAGAAAUUAAAAUCGAAUCGGAGCGAGAACACUAACUAGAGUGGAAUUUCGGCGCGAAUAGGCAACAUUCCUCCUCUCCUUCUCUCUCGAGCGUCCACUUCAUUUCAUUGUUGUGGUGGUUCGAUCGCCUUUUUUGAUGUGGAAUCGACAUGAAGGAUGGGAAAUCUGUUGGUUCGUGAUGGAGAAUGUGGCUCUGUUGAUGACGAAGAUUUGUCGUUGUUCAUUGUGGAGCGUAGUCGACAGUGAAGAGAGGAGCUUGCACGAUGCGUUCUUAGAUGAAGUUCCAAAAAAUUUCUAGCGUGUGUUGAGAAGAAGACGAAGAUUGGAGGAUAAUCUUCUAUUCGUGCCGGCUUCCAAGAUUCGAUGCGAGUUCAGGGUCCGUAUCAGGUCGCGAUUCUGGCAGCAACUCAAACACCUCACGGUAUUAAUGAGGCUCGUCGAGGGACAGAUGAAGGUGUCGUAUCAUACUCACCAAUGAACCGCAUUCAAGUGGUGGAUUUAAUGGUUUGUUCUGGUGCAACUUCAUAUCAAUGCCAAAUGAUUCAACACCUUCCACUCUUUCCGAAACCCUCUUGACCGCUCUGACACAGCCUUAGCAGGACAUUAUUAUUUUGAAAAUAACAGUUUGAGAAGACACGGCUAUAGAAGAGGAAGUGAAGAAAAGAAGAAGAGUGACGUAUUGGAAAUUGGGUUGGAGGUUAAUAUUAAUAAUACUAGUGCUUAAUUUUCAAAGGUGGGGAUUGAAAUGCAACAUGAUUUAUGGUUGAAUACAUGAAUUUGGUUUAAAGGAAAUCGAAUGUAUAUAAUUGGAAUUGGAAUGUAUAUGUGAAAUGUAUUGAAUGUUGAAUCAAUGGUAGUUUAUUUAUGUAUAUCAUAUGGAAUAUGGAUAGAAUUAGGUGGUUUAGUGUAAUUGAAUGUUGAAUGAAAUAUUUGGAUCAAUGAAUGAAAGUUUGGUUGUAAAGUU